UACGUAGGGUGCGAGCGUUAAUCGGAAUUACUGGGCGUAAAGCGUGCGCAGGCGGCGCGUUAAGACAGGUGUGAAAGCCCCGAGCUUAACUUGGGAAUUGCGCUUGUGACUGGCGAGCUGGAGUGUGGCAGAGGGAGGUGGAAUUCCACGUGUAGCGGUGAAAUGCGUAGAGAUGUGGAGGAACACCGAUGGCGAAGGCAGCCUCCUGGGCCAGCACUGACGCUCAUGCACGAAAGCGUGGGGAGCAAACAGG
rnacentral:rRNA from 1 species